GUGGUCGCUUAGGCAGCACGUGCGCUAACAUUGGAACAAUACGGAGAACAUUAGCAUGACCCCUGCGCAAGGACGGCGCGCAAAUUUGUGAAACGUUCGCACGGUGU